rnacentral:misc_RNA from 1 species
AAAAGCAAACGAAAAAAAGUACAACUUUCAACAACGGAUCUCUUGGCUCUCGCAUCGAUGAAGAACGCAGCGAAAUGCGAUAAGUAAUGUGAAUUGCAGAUUUUCAGUGAAUCAUCGAAUCUUUGAACGCACCUUGCGCCCCUUGGUAUUCCGAGGGGCAUGCCUGUUUGAGUGUCAUUAAAUCCUCAACCGCGCCGAUCGAUUUCGGUGGGGCUUGGACUUUGGAGCGUGCUGGCGAAGGUCGGCUCCUCUUUAAAUGCAUCAGCGGAAGAAACCUUUGUCUUUCCUGCCCUUCGGUGUGAUAAUCGUGUUGCGCCGCGGUGGAACUUCAACGAUCCGCUUACAAUGGUCUUCGGACGAAUACCUCAUGUCAUCUUGACCUCAAAUCAGGUAGGACUACCCGCUGAACUUAAGCAUAU